CACUUGGGUGACCAAGUGCUCCAGUGUGCCCAAGAGUGAAGCUUCCUGGUGUAGGGCACUUCGAUGACUGCACAAGAAAGGACUGCCACCGACCAGCUUAGAGCAAUGCCCGUAUGAACUUACACCCAAAUGGCUGGGUAGCUCCAAGUCUCCAAGGCUGAAAAUCAAGUGUUGACCAGGCAGAGUCAUCAGCUGGAGGUUCUGGGACCCCAGAGUGGAGGCAGAGCUGUGGUGAGCCCAGGAACCUGCAUCUUCUGCAGACGCCACAGCCCAGGAGCAGGUCAUAAUACCAAAUAAAUGCCUUUGGGCAAGAAUGUUAGUUAGAUAGCAACAUCUGGAAGAGACUGAAAGAACCAGCUGACAUCGGGAAAUCAUUGUCCUAUUUUUGCCUCUGGCACCAACAAGCUCUGUGACCUUAAUGUCUCCGUGGAUGCCCCGGCAGGAUGAAGGCCUCGCUCAGCAGCCAGCCGCCUGUAGACACUGGCUUUUCCUACUCAGAUGGAACCAACAUGCUCCCUUAUUACUAUUAUUUUCAACUUUAAGUCUCAGAUCCCGAGGGCAAGGAGUUCUGCUGGCUUUUGAUCAGAUGACGCCUUGACCGGGAUCCCGAGGAUCCCGAGGCAUUUUCGUAGGUCUAGCUCUGAUGCUGAUUGCUGUGUGACCUUGAAACAGUCACUUCCCCUUUCUGGACCACGGCCGCCUCAUUUGGAAAAUGGAGAGGUUGACCAGAGAGUCUCUAAGGUGGCUUCCGGACUUAAAGUAAGGUGUCUCUUACUUUAUAAAACCUGACAUCUGAAACAAUAAAUAAAAUCUACCCUCCCCAAAUAACGUUUUACUUAUGAGAAAGGCCAAUAAAGGUAAAACUACUUGUAUUACACACAUGAAUUUUGAAAAAUAACUGCUUCAUUUUAGAAAUAGUUUGAUUUACAUGGAACACUUCAAAUUCUCUUGUACCUAUAAUUGAUAAAAUUUUGUCUAGUUGGACAUUUCAGGGAUGGUUCUUUAUCCCUAGCAGCUGACCCUGCCACAUCCAUCAGAAAAAUUCAGCAGAAACAUCUCCGUAAUGUUCAGCUGAAAUCUCUAAUGGGGGUGAUCAAAUCAGGCUUAAUGUUCGCUUUGGCGAACAGUCACUUGGAGAGCAUGUGUUGCUUUCUCAUUAUCAUUUUAUUUCUGCCAUUAGCCACAUUUAAGAAUAUAAAUCACUACUAAUAUCUUUUCAGAAUGAAGGUUAACCCUCUCACCUCAGAGCUGAUCAUCAUUGCAAGUGAGGAGGGGGGCCGUUGUGGGAGGAGGAGGGGACCCAGGGCAAAGAGAGCUUGUGUGGUGUGACCUUGGCCCCCCUUCAGCAGACUCUGGACCUCACCUGGGAGGAUGUUUGGGGCCAGCAUGUGAGGAGAAGGGCAGCCCUCCCAGGGGACCACCAUGGAGGGAGGCGUGGUAGUCUUCAGACCCCUCUGAGGACAAGUGUGGUUAUACCGGGGACCACCUCAUCAUGCAAACCAGGACCUCUCCUCCGCCAAAUGGAAAUUCGAUGAAUCACCUGAGCUUUGACAGCAGGGAGAUCUGGGGUCAAGCCCCUGCUCGUCUGCUUCCUUGCAGGAUGGCUUUGAUGGAGCUUCCUGAACCUCCAUUUUCUUGUCUGUGAACUAAGUAUAGUAAUAAUACCCACUUCACAGAGUUGCUGGGGUUAGUCCAAAAUAAGCCCUCAAUUGAAGUUAGCUAUUACCAUUAGUAGCUUUGAUUAAUGAAAAAUGGGAAACUGAUUCAUUUAACAAAAAUAGCACAUGGGGCGCCUGGUGGGCUCAGUCAGUAGAGGGCGCCACUCUUGAUCUCAGGCUCACGAGUUCAAGCCCCACGUUGGAUGUAGAGAUUACAUAAAAAAUACAAUCUUAAAAAAAAGAAAAGUAUCCCAUAGGUGGGCAAAAAUCUCACAAAGCUGAUAGCUUGGAGAUGGGUUGAUUCUUUACACCAGGUGACAGCGAUGUUUUGAUUUUCUGUGUGACAGUGGAGGGGACCUAUGUGAAUGAUUAAAAUUUAAUUGAAACACUUUCAUUUCAUUCCCUUGGGCUGACUAUGCAUGUCCUCUGGUGUCGUAAAACAAGCUCAGGACCAUGGUGCAGGCUGCGUGCCCCGUGGUGACCUCUUUCCAAGCCACCUCUGUGUCCUCUAGAUGGAAAGCUGUUGAUUGAAAAGGGCAGAACAAUUCCCUCUGUCAGGAUGGCUGCAGAUCACAUUCAAUCAGGACAGCAUUCUAUUGAUUCAAAAGACACACAUACGCUUACACACACACACACACACACACACACACACACACACACACUUCCCAGCCGGUGACACCGGUGACCUGGGCAGAAUGGGGGAGAUCAUCAGAGGCCAGUGUACCUGGGAAGAAGGUUCCAAGCACACCACCACCCAGUGGUGGGUGGAAGUAAGGAGGGCAAAUGAAGCCCCUUUUAGGAUAUUGCUUAAUUCUCAAUAACCUCACGGCUACUCUUUGUUCUUGGAGGUCUUUCUCAGCAAAUAUGUGGAGACUCAUGGUUUUUCUUCUUGUAAAAAACUACCGUGAACCUAAAAGUGCUCAAAAAAUAAA